rnacentral:lncRNA from 1 species
UAUAUAGAGGACUCCUGCCCAGAAAGAUUAGAUGCAGAUCCCACCCUAAGGUUAGCAGAAAAACUACGGAGAAUAAUGAGGAAAGAAUCAUUCCCUAGUUGCUGGAAACAUGAGACAGUACCAGACCCAGCAUGCCCUCGAUUGUUUGUUUUCGUAAACACACACAAGGAACCAAUUGCAGCCAGGCCGAUCAUAGAGAAAAUCAAAGCACCCACAUACAGAUUGGAAAAGGCAAUGGCUAAAUGGGCCAUGGAAAUAUUAGGAAACAGCAUGUAUUCUACAAGAUUAGGAGAGGAGGUCUUACGUAAAUUAAAACAAAUAGAAUGGGAACCAAAAAACAUAUGCAC